GGCGAGAGACCGAUAGCGAACAAGUACCGUGAGGGAAAGAUGAAAAGAACUUUGAAAAGAGAGUUAAACAGUACGUGAAAUUGUUGAAAGGGAAACGAUUAAAGUCAGUCGUACUGACGGGGAAUCAACCUUUCGAAUGUGAUAACGUGGGGUUCCAAAAACCCUUUGUUUCGCCCGGUUUUCGCGUUCUUUUGGUGCUCUUUCUCGUGGUUGGAGGUCAUCAUCGGUUUCCACCGUUAUAAAA
rnacentral:rRNA from 1 species